CCUACGGGGGGCAGCAGUGGGGAAUAUUGCACAAUGGGCGCAAGCCUGAUGCAGCCAUGCCGCGUGUGUGAAGAAGGCCUUCGGGUUGUAAAGCACUUUCAGCGGGGAGGAAGGCGUUAAGGUUAAUAACCUUGUCGAUUGACGUUACCCGCAGGAGAAGCACCGGCUAACUCCGUGCCAGCAGCCGCGGUAAUACGGAGGGUGCAAGCGUUAAUCGGAAUUACUGGGCGUAAAGCGCACGCAGGCGGUCUGUCAAGUCGGAUGUGAAAUCCCCGGGCUCAACCUGGGAACUGCAUUCGAAACUGGCAGGCUAGAGUCUUGUAGAGGGGGGUAGAAUUCCAGGUGUAGCGGUGAAAUGCGUAGAGAUCUGGAGGAAUACCGGUGGCGAAGGCGGCCCCCUGGACAAAGACUGACGCUCAGGUGCGAAAGCGUGGGGAACAAACAGGAUUAGAUACCCCUGUAGUC
rnacentral:rRNA from 1 species